CUACGGGUGGCUCCAGUAAGGAAUAUUGCACAAUGGGGGAAACCCUGGUGCAGCAACGCCGCGUGGACGAAGAAGGCCUUCGGGUCGUAAAGUCCUUUUCUGAGGGAAGAGGAAGGACGGUACCUCAGGAAUAAGUCUCGGCUAACUACGUGCCAGCAGCCGCGGUAAAACGUAGGAGGCGAGCGUUAUCCGGAUUCACUGGGCGUAAAGGGCAAGUAGGCGGUUGUUUAAGUUAGGUGUGACAUCUCUCGGCUUAACUGGGAGGGAGCGCCUAAAACUAGGCAACUAGAGGGCGGAAGAAGGGGGUAGAACUCCAAAUGUAGCGGUGGAAUGCUCAGAUAUUUGGAAGAAUACCAGUGGCGAAGGCGACCCCCCGGUCCGUGCCUGACGCUGAGAGGCGAAAGCUAGGGUAGCGAACGGGAUUAGAUACCCCAGUAGUC
rnacentral:rRNA from 1 species